AGUUGUCCCCUAAGCCAGCUGCGAGGGGACACAGGUGAGAAGCACGUCUGAGAGGCUGUGCCUUCUGAACAUUUCGAGUAAGAGAUGAGUGUUGGCCAUGCGACGCAGAGCCGCACGGUUCUGUGCUGAUGCACUCCUUCUGCUUCUUGCUCUGACCUCACUGAGAGAGCGCUGAAACUCGCCGAUAUCAUCACAGACAUCAUGUGGCAAAGUGACCAAGUCAAGGAAAAACUAGAAAAAGAAGAUGACGAAAGAGGUCGCGAGUGGGUUUUAAACCCUGAUACAGCACUACAUGCUUUAUUUCCGCAUAACUGAAAGUUUUAAAAAUGCGUUUCCCUUCCCGAAACCAGGAAGGGAAAACACAGCCAGCCUUGGUUUUAAUAAAUGGACACUUUAAUAAA